rnacentral:misc_RNA from 1 species
UUGUUUGAAAGUGCGCCCGCAGUGGAUGUGCACACCGGUUUAGGCCACUUUCUCCAUGUUCGCGGUCUCGGGUUCGGUUCCUGGCUGUACCCGGCUAUUAUUUCUUCCUUUCCUCAAUUAUUAUCAUCUGCAAUUGUUCCGCCAGUCAUCGUAAACUUUCUGUGUACAGUGUGUUUAUCCGCUCAGUGCUGUGUGUUUUGCUAUUACCAUGCUGUCUGUCCCAUGAUAGUGACUGGAUGUUUUUCAUAGGGCAUUGUUCAAGUGUUGCCUGAAAAAGUGACGUUUGUGGUACAUGAUGGUUUUCCACAAGGAUAAACAAGUUAAGUUGAAGUCUCUGAUGUUCAAGGGUGACUACAUCAGACACCCGGUGCUGUACGAGCUAAGCCACAAGUACGGCGUGCAGACGGAAUGCGUGUCGGAGGCGGCGCUGCCCUGCAAGCUGGAGGAGCUGAAGGAGCUGAUCCGACGCGAGAUCCGCAAAGAGCUGAAGAUCAAAGAGGGCGCAGAGAAGCUGCGUGAAGUGGCCACCGACCGCAAGUCGCUCAGCGAUGUCGCGCACAUCGUCAAGAAGUCCAACAGCAAGCUGGGCGAGCUGCAGGCCGAGCUGCACGAGUUGGAGUCGCAGAUCAUCCUCACGCAGGGCCACACGCCGGCGCCUGUCAGGCCGCUCACGCUGCCCACCGCUAACGCCACCGCUUCCAACGGCCAUGAAACAGUGAUGUCUCCCGUUGCAGCCUGCAGCCAAGCUCAGGACAGCUCUGGGGCUGCCAAUGAUCCACGGCUGGUCUCCCUUGAAAAACAACUCAACAUUGAAUUAAAGGUGAAACAAGGCGCGGAAAAUAUGAUCCAGAGCUUGAGCGGCGGUCACAACAGGGACAAGAAGUUGCUGGCCGAAGCACAGCAGAUGCUGGCCGACUCCAAAGCCAAGAUAGAGUUCAUCCGCAUGCGGAUCAUGAAGGCGAAGCAGAACCGCCAACACAAGGUCCAGGAUCCCGCCUCCGCCAAUGGCGAUGCCAAUCAUAACAAAGAUAAAUUCGAACGUAACCUGGAGCCGCCACUGGAGGACCGAGUGGAAGAACUGAGGCACAGGCUGAGGAUAGAGGCGGCUGUGGUCGAGGGCGCCAAGAAUGUCAUCAGGCUGCUACAGAGCUCCAAAGUUGCUGACAAAAAGGCGCUGCAAGAAGCGCAAGCGAGUCUGUCAGAGUCAAGCCGCAAACUGGACCUGUUGCGCUGCUCGCUGGAGCUGCGUCGCCAAGAGCUGCCGGCCGACUCGUCUGCGGCUGCACAGCUGAAGCGGGAGCUGCAAAGCGUGCAGGCGGCUAGCCCUGUGCCUGUCACCUACACCAGUCUGCAGCCCUUCCGCGGCGACAGCUCCAAGCCCGCACACAGCUCCCCCUCGCAGCUCAACCGCUGCGCCGCCGUCACCGGCAAGCUCGAAGUUAGACUGAUGGGUUGCCAAGAUCUGUUGGAAGAGGUGCCUGGGCGAUCCCGCCGGGAGAAGGAGAACUCGUCCAGUCCGGGUGACCUGCGCUCUUUCGUGAAGGGAGUCACCGGUCGCAGCUCCAGCAAGUCAUACAGUGUCAAAGACGAAACCAGUAACGAGAUAAUGGCAGUGCUGAAGCUGGACAACCAGACGGUGGCGCAGACGAGCUGGCGCCUGUGCUCGCAGCAGGCCUGGGACCAGCGUUUCUCCAUCGACCUGGACAGGUCGCGCGAGUUGGAGAUCGGCGUCUUCUGGCGCGACUGGCGCUCGCUCUGCGCCAUCAAGUUCCUGCGCCUAGAGGAGUUCAUCGACGACAUCCGGCACGGCAUGGCGUUGCAGCUCGAACCGCAGGGACUGCUCUUUGCCGAGAUAAAAUUCCUGAACCCGAUGAUAUCGAGAAAGCCUCGACUGCAACGUCAGCGCAAGAUCUUCAAGCAGCAGGUGAAGAACUUCCCGCGGGCCAACCAGAUGAACAUCAACAUCGCGACGUGGGGCCGCCUCAUCAAGCGGUCCACUCCCUCGCACAUGCGCGCGCACUCCGACAGUCCACCCUCCACGGGUCCGGAAAUAGUGGAGGAAAAGCCAGAAGCACCAGGCGAGGCGCCGGAACCAGGCGUAGCCGGACUUGGAGGUGCACGCCCCCUGGGGGUGGCCGUGCUGCCCCCAUUGCCCCCCGGCGGCAACUUGCUGCCCUCCUCAUUCUCCAAAAAGCGGCCUCCCACCCUCACCCUGCCACCACCUCCGCCACCGCCUCCCAAACUCGAUCAAGAGCUUGCCAGCGCUUUGAGCGAAUUUGACUUCCUGCAGGAAGAGGACAAGAUGGCGGCGGCUGCGUGCAGCUCUACUGCGCAGUCGCAGUCGACGGUGACCAUCAGCCCGGCCACGCCAUUGGUCAGCACGCCCUCCGCACACCCCACCCCCUCUCCCUCGCCACUCGUCGAGUUCCCCGCUGAUGAGCCGGCUUUCGAGCAGCGAGGAGGUGGAGCCAUUGUUAAUAUCAACGUUGUCCGUUCUCUGGAGUAUAGAGACAGCGCAUACAUAUCCAGGCCUCAAUCACAAUUCGCUGGCAUGAGUAUGGAGAACUUCAGGCUGCUCAGUGUGCUCGGAAGAGGUCACUUUGGAAAGGUAAUCCUAUCGCAGUACCGAAACACAGGCGAGUACUUUGCUAUCAAGGCACUAAAGAAGGGCGACAUAAUCGCUCGCGACGAGGUGGAGUCGCUGCUGUCUGAGAAGCGCAUCUUCGAGGUGGCCAACCAGAUGCGGCAUCCGUUCCUGGUGAACCUGUUCGCCUGCUUCCAGACGGAUGCUCACGUUUGCUUUGUGAUGGAGUAUGCGGCCGGCGGCGACCUCAUGAUGCACAUUCAUGCCGACGUCUUCACUGAGCCACGCGCCGUCUUCUAUGCCGCAUGCGUCGUGCUCGGCCUACAGUAUCUGCACGAUAGCAAGAUCAUAUACAGAGAUUUGAAACUGGACAACCUGCUGCUGGACACGGACGGCUACGUGAAAAUUGCCGACUUUGGGCUGUGCAAGGAGGGAAUGGGCUUCGGCGACCGCACGGGCACCUUCUGCGGCACCCCCGAGUUCCUGGCGCCCGAGGUGCUCACUGAGACCUCGUACACGCGCGCCGUCGACUGGUGGGGCCUCGGCGUACUCAUCUUCGAGAUGCUCGUCGGAGAGUCGCCAUUCCCUGGUGAUGACGAGGAGGAAGUGUUCGACUCGAUAGUCAAUGAUGAGGUGCGCUACCCUCGCUUCCUCUCGCUCGAGGCAAUCGCUAUCAUGAGACGGUUGCUGAGGAAAAAUCCGGAACGUCGACUAGGUUCUAGUGAGCGCGAUGCUGAGGAUGUGAAAAAGCAGGCCUUCUUCAGGCACAUCGCGUGGGACGACCUCCUGCAGCGUAAAGUUAAACCUCCAUUCGUGCCCACUGUGAACUCAGUGGAGGACGUAAGCAAUUUCGAUGAAGAGUUUACAUCAGAGAAGCCCCACCUCACUCCCCCCAAAGAUCCACGCGCUCUCACUGAUGACGAACAGAAUCUAUUCAAGGACUUCACAUACAUGGCCGAUUGGUGUUGACAAAAACAAUCAAACCUCAUCUGUUGAUCGCGUCGAACCAGGUGUUAUAUUUUCGGUAUAGGCCACGCCACGUUCUAUUCGGGUAGCUCUUUCGAAUAAUUCGAAGUAAAAAUACAAAAUGUACUAUGAUCCAAGAUCUUUUCGCAGUAGAUAAUACAAGUAUUGCACCUUAAUUUAGUUCUAAACUAUUUAUGUGCUACAAACUCAGUAAUUCAAUGUAUCUGAUAUAAUAUAUUAUUAUAUAUAAUAUAUAUUUGUAAGUGCAGGGAGCUCAUGAAUUUUCGCAUAUUUCAUAAAGUUAAUUACAUCUGUGCCAUUCUUCAUUAUCAAUAACCGCGUAAUUCAAUCUUGAAAUGUAUGAAAUACCUCAUUUCAUUCAUCAAAAAUCUUUUUGAACCCAUUUUUAUAUGAUCAAUAUGAAAUAAAUAAUCGAUGUCGUUUGUAUUCAAGAUGUGGCUGCCAUUCGAUCGGUUGUAUAGGUUCUAAUAUAUAAUUCCGAUUUGUGUCGGAUCUAAAGUGCAGUGAAACUAACUUCGUGGGAAAUUGCCAAAUACAAACUAGAAUUAUAUAAAUUUAAGGAUAUAAUGUGUAUUGUACUGCUCCAUCCCCAGCUAGAGUGGUCUGUUUUAUAUUGUUGUAAUAUUAUGUUCCUGUCCUCUCUAAUAACUCAUCUCAAUUCUAAUAAUUAGGAAAAAUAAUUGAACUAAUUAUAGGUCAACUAAUAAUGAUCAUUACUUCAACUUUUUUCUGUAUUGAUGUAUCAUAAUAUUUCUACAAAUCACAUUCGUCCUAUUUCUGUUUCUUAUUUGUUUGCUGUAACUAAUGAAUAAACAUUUACGAUCUCGCCUAGAGUCUGAUAUUAUUUUCUUCUAUCAAAAAUAAUAUCGUACGAUUUGAAGUUCAUUAAUCAAUCUAGAAAUACUACUAUCAGUGAUAAUGUAUAGGAUACAAGUAUAUAGAUCUAUUUCAAAUUUCACUAGUUGAUCCAAGCUGAUGAGCUUUUAGGUUAUAUUCAUCUAAUUUGAAAAUAACUUCCCUAGACAAUUAUUAUUAUUAUUUUCUUUGUAUAUUUAUUUCAAAUGUAGCAUCACAUAUUUUAUUGUAUAUUUGUAAAUUGGCAACUUGAUUCGUUUUAAUAUUAGUUAGUCCUUCUAUUAGAUUGUUUCUAUGUCGGAUAUUGUUAUUUAACAUUUUAACCCUAUGAUUUAUCUGUUAGCUUGAGGAUUUUAAUUCAUCAAUCAUUUAUAUUACUUCAUUUUAUACUCGCAUUUCAUUCCUGUCAUUCGCUCUCUUUUCACUUGAAAAUUUUCUUAUAUUUUCAUUUCUAGAAUCACAACUAUUUUUCGCAUUUCUAUUUAUAUCUAUUGUUUUAUGAGUUCUAUAAAGACCAGUAGUCUACCGUAGUAUUUCUAUCACUGAUAUUAACAUUUCGAAUAUUAGUAAAAUAAUUGUAUAAUUCUCCUAGACUAUCGCAUUUUAUUUGUUUAUUUUUAAUUAAAGAUAGUUCAUAAAAACUCUUUACUCAAUUUCUGAUUAUUGUUUUCAUGUUUAUGCCACAGUUAAAUUCUGUUUAUGUAUCUUAAAAUUAUAUAAUAAAACUUACAAGAUUUAUUUUCAAUUUACAUAAUUUAUAAUCCUUUGAAAUGUAUUCACUUUCACCAAACAAAAAUGAGCUGCUUCUCCCAUAAAACGCUAGUUUAGGUUUAUCGCGAACAGUUGACCUCUGCUCUGGAUUGCAUCCAAUGCUAUUCAUUGCGAGACCAUAUUAGGCAUUUUCAGAGUCGGCAGGGCAUGAAGCUUUUCGAUUGGCUAAAAAACGUUUAAUAUGGUCUCGCCCUAAUACGCUUUUCUCUUUCACUCACUCAAAUACACAUUUUAUGAAUAUUGGGAAUUUGCAAUAGAUGUACAUUCCGUUGAUAGUGAUUGAUUUUUGUUGACUUUGAUUAGUAGCCUACAUAUGCACACAAGGCAUAGCAUUCUCGUUAUCAGUUUGUUCAUCAAUGAUCUUAUAUUGAAAUAUUGGCCGGUUCACAAUAAAAUUAUUUUUUAAUAGAAUCACAUGGAAUCUAUUUUUUCUUCCAUACAUUUAGAACGACAGAAUGCAUUUACGCACAGAUAUUAGCUUAGCAACCUAAGCUCAUAUAGUGUUGGACUCUUAAUUUCUAGAACUUCGAAUCUGUUCUAAGUGAGUGUUCUACUUCAUUGUAUAAACAUAUUUUUCGGCAGACUUUAGAUUGAAGAAAAUUACUACCUAUCUGAAUUAGAUAUCGCCUCAUGAAUGACUAGGUUAUUUUCUUCUUCCCAAGGAUAUAUUUCUAUUUAUUUAUUCACACAUACAUUUUACAAAAUCCAAAUUCACAACAAACAAUAGUUAUAGCGGGUGAUAACGUUAAUAAAAUUUGAGGAAACGUGUUGAUGCACGUUUAAAAACAUGAACAAGCUUUAAAUUUUUAUACUGUGUGUGACUCAACACAAUUUUCUGAUUUAUUGUACUGUAAUUCAAUAAACCAUUACUAAAGUAACGCUCCAAUUCACAUAAAAAAUAAUUAGCCUACUAGAUUAUAAAAUGACUGUAGAGUAAUAUAAAAUUAAGCUCAUCCAAGGUACUCGAAUUUGUUGUAGCGUAAUUGAAUAAGAAACAUUGUGAUCUUUGAUGAUUAAAAUCCAUUCUAAAUUUUAAACGCUUUGUAAAGAUUGAGAAGCCCUAAAUAUUUUAAAUAUUUUUAAGAUUCCAUUUGAACAUAACUAAAACUCAUUCUAUUACAAAAAAUUCAUUGAUUAUUGCCCUCUAAAUGAAUUAUUAUUACACACAUGAUAUUAAUGUUUAUUACUGUAUCAACAAAGUACUCACAUAAUUCUUUACUGAAUGAAUCUUGAGUGUUUAAAAGUAACAUACGCUAAAUUUAGAAAUCAAAGUUAUUAGUUGAAAAAUCAUUUUAAAAUUCAUGUUGUUUUUUGUUGCUUUGACAUAAAUUUUGUUAUCAAAUAAUCGUUUUACAUUACAUAAGUUGAUAUAUCGUAACUUAUUAUCAGUACCGCACAUUAUUAUAAGCCUACUUGAGAAAUUCAAUUCAGUGGAAUGAUAGGAGUGUGAUCUCUCUCGCAUUAACCAUACCUUUCCAUAUUUUUAAUAGUCUCAAGCAUAGUGAUUGUUAGAUUAGAGUGAGAGUGGCUUCAACACAAAUAAAGUAUAAUAUAUUAUAGUUUUCAUGAACUAAAUUUGCUAGAGAAUUAUAGUAACUUACCAAUUUUCUAAAGAUAGAAUCACUCGAAAUGUUCAGAUCAUUAAUAAAAUCUACAAAAUGUAAAUGAAGGAGUUGGCAUGUCUCAUAUUGCUUAGACCUUUGAUUUCAUCGACAAUGUUGAACAAUAUUCAUGGCAUGGUAUUAUGAAAUUGGAAAUAAUUAUUCUAUAAAGCAGUAUUCUAUUACUGAAUUGUAAAGAAUUCUGCUAAAAUCCAAGCGAAGAUCUUCUUCUGAACAUUUAAGCCUUGAUUAAGGAGAUUAAAUCUAGAAAUUAAGAAAUUUGACAAUGUAACUUACGGUGUCUUCUAGGGCAAGUUAAAUUGUUUAAAAAUAUUGAGGUUCAAACAGAUCAACUAGUAGCCUUUAAUUUACCUCUUAUAAACACUUUUUUAUUAUUUUAUUUUAAGAAAGUGUUCAUAGAAGGUUAAAAUGGUACUAGUUGAUGUAUUCAAAAAUAUUUGACAAUAUAUUUAUCAAAAUCUUUAAUGUUAUGUGAUUUACACAGUAUUAAAAAAUUGCUCAUUUAUGAAUUCCAACAAGACAAUACAAAAUAGAUGAGUCGUUAGAACUCCAAAGCUUUAUUGUAGUUUUCUAUGUGAUUGAUUACUCAACUCAUCAAGAUGGAUUUUUCAUUCAAAAGAUUUUCUAUAAAUUUACUGAAAAAUUCACUACUGUAGAGAAAACAGGAGUCAAUUCCAGUUAUAAAUUCUUGUUUGCUCUCAUAUCAUAUUUUAGUCCGUACUAUCCGGAUUUCAGUCAGUAUUAUAUCAUUCUAUCAAAUUUUAAUGAUAAAUCGCAUAAAAUUAAUUAUUGUGCUUUUCACCUUCAACCGGUUUGUAUUUUUCAAAAUUUAUAAAAUUUAGUAGAUUGCUCAAGAUCUCUUCUCACCUAGCCUAAACCUAACCUAGGUUUAUGUAGGUAUUAUGAUAUGGAUAUGUUACAAUAGUGAAUGAGAAAAACAAGAUUAUUAAUGACAUAAAUUUAUCAUAGAUAAAAUUUACUCGUAUUAAAGUCACUAGGGCUAUUUAUUAGUGUAAAUUUUCAUGAUAUUGAAGCAAUAUUUAUAAAAUUGAUAUGAAAUUAGAACUUUGUUUGAUUUUCUUGGAUGGAUACUUUAAUUUAUCAAAUCAAUUAGUGUAAGUCUUAUCUCAAAAUGUGAAUCAAUUGUUUUAACGUACGGUACAAAUUUCUUUCUACGUUUGAAUAAAGAUGCGAUUUUUGUAGUGUUAGUGUAGUUUUGAAGUGCCUAUAGAGAGUUGAAAUGAAAACCUUUGAAUAUGGGGCUUAUUCAUCGACAAAACCAAUCAAUUCAUAUUUUGAAUCAAUCGUCAAAGCGCCUCUACCAUAUUCCUUACAUUCAUAAAUAAAACAGAUCAUCCUGUUGAUUCAUUUGUUUGCCUUAACCACGAAGUGCCAAUUCUUAUUAAUAAUUCCUCCUGAUUAUUCAUGAGCGUAUAUAUUUUAUAACGUAUUUCAUACAUUUCCUGUUAUUCUCAUGAUAAUCAAUUCAUGAAUAUUUUUGUAGUCCUCAUGAAGCUUGUUGACUCAAGUGAAUUUUAAAUGUUAUAUUUUUGUUGCAUUUGACUUUGAAAAGGUAUUUUAUACUAUUAUUCUGAUAAAUUGGAAAAAUAUAUUUGUAAGGUACUUUAUAACUUCCAAUGGCUAGAACAUUUUUUAUAAAGCUGUAUACUUUCCGUUAUUAAGUUGAGUCGAAUGAUAAUGUUUUCAACAUAAUUUUACUAAUAAAUGAAAGCAUGGAGUUGAAAGCUUUUAUAGUAAACCCCAAAAAGUUUAUUAUUUCCAAAAAAAUCUUAUAUUUAAAUAAAUGACUCACACGAGGCCUUUAGAUAUAAUUCUCUUGAAAUUCGUUCUGUACCGUUAUUCUAUUCUUCAUAAUUAUAUUUGUAUGUAUCAUUUUUACUUCUUCUCUUUUAUUGUUAGUUUAAUCCCAACAUAUAUGCUUGUAAAAUAAUCAAUAGCAAGGGAAAAUCGUAUUUCUAUUACCUUUGAUUACAGAUCCGUUUUUUUAAAUUCUCAAUAAUUCUCAUUAAUAAGCUCUAUACAUACUAGAACUAUCUGCAUGUGAUUCUCUUAAACACGUUCAUUAUAUCUUCAUCUGCAAAUUGAACAUCUUUUCUGUGCUUUUCAUAAUAAGCUCUAUGUACUAAUUUUAAUAAUGACGUG